rnacentral:rRNA from 1 species
GUGUCAGCCGCCGCGGUAAUACGUAGGUGGCAAGCGUUGUCCGGAAUUACUGGGCGUAAAGGGCGUGUAGGCGGCCUUUUAAGUCAGACGUGAAAUCUCCAGGCUUAACCUGGAAACUGCGUUUGAAACUGGAGGGCUUGAGGACCGGAGAGGGUAGUGGAAUUCCCAGUGUAGCGGUGAAAUGCGUAGAUAUUGGGAGGAACACCAGUGGCGAAGGCGACUGCCUGGACGGCACCUGACGCUGAGGCGCGAAAGCUAGGGGAGCAAACGGGAUUAGAAACCCCAGUAGUCC